rnacentral:piRNA from 1 species
UGGCCACAGUUGUUGACUAAACUCUUCAUU